rnacentral:rRNA from 1 species
GACGAACGCUGGCGGCGUGCUUAACACAUGCAAGUCGUACGGUAAGGCCCUUUCGGGGGUACACGAGUGGCGAACGGGUGAGUAACACGUGAGUAACCUGCCCACAACUUUGGGAUAACGCUAGGAAACUGGUGCUAAUACUGGAUAUGUGCUCCUGCUGCAUUGUGGGGGUUGGAAAGCUCCGGCGGUUGUGGAUGGACUCGCGGCCUAUCAGCUUGUUGGUGGGGUAGUGGCCUACCAAGGCGGCGACGGGUAGCCGGCCUGAGAGGGUGACCGGCCACAUUGGGACUGAGAUACGGCCCAGACUCCUACGGGAGGCAGCAGUGGGGAAUAUUGAACAAUGGGCGCAAGCCUGAUGCAGCAGCGCCGAGUGCGGGAUGACGGCCUUCGGGUUGUAAACCGCUUUCAGCAGGGACGAAGCUUUUUGUGACGGUACCUGCAGAAGAAGCACCGGCUAACUACGUG